AAACCUGCCUCAUAGACUGGGACAACUAUUGGAGACGAUAGCUAAUACCGGAUAACAGUAUUUCUCGCAUGAGAGAUAUUUAAAAGUUGGUUAUGCUAACACUAUGAGAUGGCUUUGCGGUGCAUUAGCUAGUUGGUGGGGUAAAGGCCCACCAAGGCGACGAUGCAUAGCCGACCUGAGAGGGUGAUCGGCCACACUGGGACUGAGACACGGCCCAG
rnacentral:rRNA from 1 species